GGCCGGGGGUGGGCGAAUACAAUACCUUCGGGAAAUAAACCCGGUGUCCCUGUAGCACUUUUCAGCCCCUGGCCGCCCGUCG
rnacentral:ncRNA from 1 species